CUUAAUUUGCUCACCGUUGACUUUUUUGGAUUUACUCUGGCACAAAUUGACUUGUGGUGGUGAUUGUAGCUGAUAUUUCAUUUUCGACGGUAACCAUGGCUGCAAUGGAACAACUCCUCCAGGAGCAUGCUGCCGCAUCCUGCUUUUCCCCCUCCCUCCCAGCAAAUCAAAAUGACAUCCUGACUGGAGCUGAAAGAGGUAACCAGAUGACAGUGCUACCUUCAUUGGCUUCAUCCAGCAGCGUGCACAAAGGGAGGGCAAAAGCGGUCAAAUGAAAAUUCCUGCACAUGCCUCUGGCUUCAUCUAAAACCUGAAGGACACUUGGGAC